rnacentral:rRNA from 1 species
UACGAAGGGUGCAAGCGUUACUCGGAAUUACUGGGCGUAAAGCGUGCGUAGGUGGUUUGUUAAGUCUGAUGUGAAAGCCCUGGGCUCAACCUGGGAAUUGCAUUGGAUACUGGCAGGCUAGAGUGCGGUAGAGGAUGGCGGAAUUCCCGGUGUAGCAGUGAAAUGCGUAGAGAUCGGGAGGAACAUCUGUGGCGAAGGCGGCUUUCUGGGCAUUUCCUGACGCUGAGACGCGAAAGCGUGGGGAGCGAACCGG